CUUUUAUUCAACUUUUUGGUGAGACCCGUGAGCCUCAUUUAAUUAAAAUAGAUCUGUACAAAAUUAAGCAAAAUGCAAAGUCCAAAGUAGACUCGAUCCAUUCCAAAUAAACUAAAACUAAGACAAAAAAAAGAAAGAAAAGGAAAGUAAAGUCAAAGGAAACCUAAUGGACAGAAAAGGAAAGAUUGGUUCAGCUGAGUUAAAGCUUCCAUAGAUGCCGAUCUCCAUCGUCGACCGUCACUUCCAGGUUCCAUCUAAAUGCAUCCCAUAAGCUCUCACCGUAUGUCAUGGUAACCAAUCCAAAUGAAGAUUUCUUCAAGAUGUGGAUUUAUAGAGUCAAUUCAAAACUCAAGGAACUCUUCCGGAUGAGUCCAAUGGGACUCCCCAUAUCCUUGCAUUCAAACGCCAUCGAGUUGAGCCUUAUUAAAGUCAAAAAUUGGACUGAUAUACACAGGAUAACACAAGUAUACAAGCUGGUAUACGCUGAUAUACAGUGUGUAUACAUGGAAAACAGUAGCAACGCAUUAUCACACGAUUUUUGAUGGCAAAUGGAGGGGAAAUAAGCAGUCUUUGGCGCUGAUAUACACUGUAUAUGCAGUGAUAUACAAAAAAAAGUUGAGACUUAAUCUGUUGAUAUACAGUUGGUAUACACUUCAGAAAAUGGACCCAAAGUCCAUAAUUUAAAGCCCAAAAAAUGAGCAGCUUUGUUGAUGGGCCAAUUAAGGGCCCAAUUUCAAACUCUUAUAUUAAUUUUGGUAGUUAUCUUUGCUUGUUUGUAUAAAUAACGUUUUAAUCAAUUAACCUAGACAAAUUUCCUGCA